AUUGAACGCUGGCGGCAUGCCUUACACAUGCAAGUCGAACGGUAACAGGUCUUCGGAUGCUGACGAGUGGCGAACGGGUGAGUAAUACAUCGGAACGUGCCUAGUAGUGGGGGAUAACUACUCGAAAGAGUGGCUAAUACCGCAUGAGAUCUACGGAUGAAAGCAGGGGAUCGCAAGACCUUGUGCUACUAGAGCGGCCGAUGGGGGAUUAGGUAGUUGGUGGGAUAAAAGCUUACCAAUCCGACGAUCUGUAGCUGGUCUGAGAGGACGAUCAGCCACACUGGGACUGAGACACGGCCCAGACUCCUACGGGAGGCAGCAGUGGGGAAUUUUGGACAAUGGGCGCAAGCCUGAUCCAGCAAUGCCGCGUGCAGGAUGAAGGCCUUCAGGUUGUAAACUGCUUUUGUACGGAACGAAAAGCCCCGGGUUAAUACCCUGGGGUCAUGACGGUACCGUAAGAAUAAGCACCGGCUAACUACGUGCCAGCCGCCGCGGUAA
rnacentral:rRNA from 1 species